UCUCUCUCUUUCUCUUUCACACACAUACACACACACACACACACACUCGAACACACACACAGACUAAUUGUCUGUUAAGUUUCUUCUCCAAAUUUGCUAUAAACACAUAUGAUGGAAGAAUCUGUUAACAGGAUUCACAGUGACACCACAUCUAUAGGCCUUUAUACAGUGGCCCUGAGAGGCCAAAUGGACUGCAACUAAGGAAAACACCAGCAAUAACAAAAACGCUGCAAAAGCACACAAAACACAAUGGAAAUCGGAAAAAUGGAAAUGGAAAUAGGAAAAAAGAAAACAGAAAUUGAAAAAAACGGAAACAAAAAGAGGAAAAAAAUGAUUUCCAAUGCUGGGAGACACUUAAAAGAAGUGGAGGAUCUGUCGGUUUUGUGAGAAAAGAUGAGAGAUAAGUGUGUUAGCCUAAAAAUCCGUAUUGUAUUCUAUGAAUCGUGCGAUUAAAACACACUUACCUAGCAUGUUUUGAUUCCUGCAUCUGGUCCGUCAGGUUAUUGUCUCCCCAGAAACACUUCCCUUGUGCUUUUGGAAAUCUGUUUUUUCCUAUUUCUUUUUCCUAUUUCUGUUUUCUUUUUUCCUAUUUCCGUUUUCGUUUUUCUCUUAAGUUGUUCUCUUAAGUUGCAGUCCGUUUGGCCUCUCAGGGUCACCGUACCUUUACACACCUUACACGUAAAAUGUGGGUAAAUAUUUUGGGUCCUCAAAAUAUUUUUCUGACCCACCUAUUCUUAAUUCACACUGACUGUGUGACCAAUCAGACCACUACAUUUGGCAGUGCGCUUGUAGCUCAAAACGUGCACAGUACUGAAUAUACGAUGUUAUGGAAAUAGUAAAAUAAUACUAUUUUACCUCAGACACGGCUAAAUGCUGCUCUGAUUCAACUGUUUCUCUGAAACAUAUCUCUGCCUUCUCUGACGUGGUCCCAACUCUGUCCACAGCAGUUCAAACUGUCCCACUGACAUCCUGGAAAACGUACAAAUGCGAUCAUAAUGCAGCUUCAGCUCCUGGAUCAAAGCAUGAAAUUUUUC
ensembl:lncRNA